GACGGAGGGUGCAAGCGUUGCUCGGAAUCAUUGGGCGUAAAGGGUGCGUAGGCGGCUUCUUAAGUCUGACGUGAAAGCCCAGGGCUUAGCCUUGGAAGGGCGCCAGGAACUGAGAGGCUCGAGUGCCGGAGGGGAGAGUGGAAUUCCUGGUGUAGCGGUGAAAUGCGUAGAUAUCAGGAGGAAUACCGGUGGCGAAAGCGACUCUCUGGACGGUAACUGACGCUGAGGCACGAAAGCGUGGGGAGCGAACAGG
rnacentral:rRNA from 1 species